CCUACGGGAGGCAGCAGUGGGGAAUAUUGGACAAUGGGCGAAAGCCUGAUCCAGCCAUGCCGCGUGUGUGAAGAAGGCCUUCGGGUUGUAAAGCACUUUUGUCCGGAAAGAAAAGCACUGGGUUAAUACCCUGGUGUCAUGACGGUACCGGAAGAAUAAGCACCGGCUAACUUCGUGCCAGCAGCCGCGGUAAUACGAAGGGUGCAAGCGUUACUCGGAAUUACUGGGCGUAAAGCGUGCGUAGGCGGUUUGUUAAGUCUAAUGUGAAAGCCCUGGGCUCAACCUGGGAAUGGCAUUGGAUACUGGCAACCUAGAAUGUGGUAGAGGGUGGCGGAAUUCCCGGUGUAGCAGUGAAAUGCGUAGAUAUCGGGAGGAACAUCCGUGGCGAAGGCGGCCACCUGGACCAACAUUGACGCUGAGGCACGAAAGCGUGGGGAGCAAACAGGAUUAGAUACCCUGGUAGUCCACGCCCUAAACGAUGCGAACUGGAUGUUGGGCUCAAUUGAGAGCUCAGUAUCGAAGCUAACGCGUUAAGUUCGCCGCCUGGGAAGUACGGUCGCAAGACUGAAACUCAAAGGAAUUGACGG
rnacentral:rRNA from 1 species